AAACGUUCACCUUGUUGCUUAACAAGGCGCAGCACGACUCAGGCCAUGGAACGGGGGCUUGGG
ncrna:unclassified sequences Glutamine-II riboswitch (downstream peptide RNA)